rnacentral:rRNA from 1 species
UACGGGGGGGGUAAGCGUUGUUCGGAAUUACUGGGCGUAAAGCGUGCGUAGACGGUAGCGUAAGUCGGGUGUGAAAGCCCCGGGCUCAACCUGGGAAUGGCAUUCGAGACUGCUCUGCUAGGGUGCGGAAGAGGGGAGCGGAAUUUCCGGUGUAGCGGUGAAAUGCGUAGAUAUCGGAAGGAACACCAGUGGCGAAAGCGGCUCCCUGGUCCAGCACCGACGUUCAGGCACGAAAGCGUGGGGAGCGAACAGG